rnacentral:lncRNA from 1 species
GCUUUUGUAGACAUAUAACAUAUUAAGAAGACAUUUCAUACAUGUAGAGAAGAUGCUUCAGGAUAUGAUUUCCACCUCUAUAAACCCAAAAAUGCACAUUGUUGAUGAAAUAAUCCAAUUGGCACUUAUUGAGGAUGUUACUUAAUGACUAUUUACAGUGGAAGGUGAAUAGAAGGAGUUAUUCAGCCUCUUGUUUUUCAUGGCUAAUCUUCAAUGUUACAUUCCACAGAAUAAUUGAUAAUUACUGAACAAUUAAAAGUCAAAAUAGCUAAAACGUGAUAUAUUUGAAAGGUUGAAGAUGGUUGAUACUUGCCUUUAAUAUUCGUGUACUCAUUUAUUUAUGGUUCCUUGAAAAAUCUGCUUUGCCAUUUGUAAUUGUUAUCUGAAACUUUCUGAUGAUACAAUACCUGCCUCAGGGGCCUUUUAUUGCAGCCUUUGGGAAAAAUAGGGUAAAAAGUCACAUUAAUAGAAAAGGGUCAUGUAUGUCUGGUUUUUGAGAAUGACUCCAUUCCACCUUUUGAAUUAAGUAUUGGCUAAGAUAUGUUCCUAAUUUGUGUUUAGAUUCUGUAUUAAAUGCCAUGACUAAAGCUAACUUGGUGAGAAAGUGGUUUAUUUCAUCUUAUAGGUUAUAAUUGAUCAAGAGAAGCCAGGAUAAAGGCUAGACUAGGAACCUGGAAGCAGGGACUAAGGAAGAAAAUGGAGAAAUGAUACCUGGUGAAUUGCUUUUCUUGGCUUAGCUUCCUUCAUACAACCUAGGACCAUGUUCCAAGGGGUGGCACUGCCCAAAGUGGUCUAUGUCCUCAUAUAUCAGUAAUUAAUAAAGAAAAUACUUGACAGAAAUGGCCAGAGUCCAACCUGAUGAAUGUGAAGGGUCUCUCUUCUCAGGAAACUCUAGUUUGUGUCAAGUUAAAAGAUCUAUCCAUAUCAUUUGUCAUCUGAAAGGGACAAGAUAUUGUAAAAUUACAGCAUAAAUUUAUCGUUUAUUGUAUAUGAUGGAGCAUUCUGUGGGGUAAAAGCAAUUAAGUUGGAAAGAAAUGAUCUACCAUCUGAUCAUUGGAUACAGAAACUGCCACAAAAUUAGGAUACUGCACUUUUUGUGAAAUAAGAACAGUAGGCUAUUAGGGAUGUGGUGUUUGUCAAAUAAACUGCAGAAGACUUAGUGAACUUCUUUGAGUAACAACAGGUUUCAUAUUAGGAAAUAAUAAUUUUUCUUACUUUUAAAAUUAAAGUGAAAAACAUUAUUAGAAUGGAACUUAUCUCAAAGAAAUUUUAGGGGCUGUGUAUGUAGCUAGAAAAGAAACACUUGUGUCAUGCAUGUGAGGCCCUAAGUUCAAUGUUCAGCAGCACCAAAAGUAAAAAAAAAUACACAAAACGUUUCUUAAGAGUGACAUCAUUUAACUAUUGUUGUUAAGUUUGUCCACUGUCUUAUUCAAAAUAUAUCAUUAAUUGAACUUGUAACUAAUGAAAGUAAAGCUUUUAUUUUCC